AUGUGUGGAGAAGGAUCUCUCCCUAAAGACCAUGUUGAGACAGAAGACAAGUGCAAUGAUUUGGCAUUAGAAGAUAAUGGGAGAAAAUCCCCCUCUGUGAUUGAACUAAUGAUGACUACAGUGUAUGAAAAAACUAAAAAAUUACACAAAUCAAAUGAUGACUCUCCUGAAGAAAAUUUGCAAACCCUAGAAGAGCAAAUGAUUACCGAUGGUAUAAAGGAGGUAUCACUGAAUGAUAAACCUGAAUGCAUGGUUACAAAAGACGGUGAAGAAAAACAAGCAGUUCCACAAAAAGUGAAGCCUUCUUCAUCAGGAAGGUAAGAAAAAGAUGCUUCUAUGUCAGAGUUUACAAUCUUACUCUAUAGGGUACCAUUUCAGAACUUUAAGGUAACCACACAACAUACUGGUUACUUGCAUCUUUCUCACCCCAGGCCACUGGGGUUUUUGCAGGAAUUUGCAUUCA
rnacentral:lncRNA from 1 species